rnacentral:rRNA from 1 species
UACGUAGGGACCGAGCGUUGUCCGGAAUCAUUGGGCGUAAAGAGCGUGUAGGCGGCUUGCUAAGUCUUGCGUGAAAUCUCGGGGCUCAACCCCGAGCGGUCGUGGGAAACUGGCAGGCUAGAGUGCGGAAGAGGAGAAUGGAAUUCCUAGUGUAGCGGUGAAAUGCGCAGAUAUUAGGAAGAACACCCGUGGCGAAGGCGGUUCUCUGGGACGCAACUGACGCUGAGACGCGAAAGCGUGGGGAGCAAACAGG